rnacentral:snRNA from 1 species
AUUACUUCUCGGCCUUUUGGCUAAGAUCAAGUGUAGCAUCUUAGGUAUAGGCAUAAGCAAUAAAACAGCUUAAGUGGAACUUAACAUACAGUCCUGAUUUUUUUUUCCCUAACAUUUGAGGUGCUCUGUCUAACUUUGAGCAAUUGUUAAGUGACUGUAA